GGGAGGUAAAUUUCUCCUAAGGCUAAAUAACGGCGAGAGACCGAUAGCGAACAAGUACCGUGAGGGAAAGAUGAAAAGAACCUUGAAAAGAGAGUUAAACAGUACGUGAAAUUGUUGAAAGGGAAACGAUUAAAGCCAGUCGUACCGGCGGGUAAUCAGCCUUUUGGGUGUGAUUAUGUGGAGCGUGAGGAGUUUAAUCGCCUUCAUGCCUGCGUAUUCGUGCACUUUGGGUGUACUUGCUCGUGUGGUAGGUUAACAUCAAUUUCGGUCGUCAUAAAAUGAUCGGAGGAAUGUAGCUUCGAU
rnacentral:rRNA from 1 species